UUUUGCCUUUCUCUCCCACCUCAUCUCUUGCUGUUUCUCUCCUGAUCUUCCCCUCCCUGUUUCCUCUCUUUGGCUCCAGCAAGAACUGCCUUUCUGCUCCUUCAGUGACCAAGCCUACCUCUGCCACAGGCCUUUUACGUCUUCCCUGCUCUUCAGAUGGCUGCUUCCUUUUCAUUCUCAGCUCAGAGAUGACUUCCCCUGGCCAUCAGUAGCCAGUAGUGUUUUUACGUGCAGUUUAAUUUUUAUUGUCAUAUGUUAAGUCACAUUAUUUUAUGUUUUAGGCCACAGAUAUGUGGACAUUUCAGCCUUGAAGGCAGUGGUGCAGCUUGCUGAGCCAUACCUCUGUGAAUCUUGACUGAGUACUUUGAACUUGGAGUGUAUGAAAGAGCUCCUUCAGCUGAAGGAACAUCAGUUGCCCCUGCAGAAGCUGAGUGGUGGUGAUUCUGCAGUGUUUGACCAGACAGCACUUACAACUGAGCAUAUCAGGAUGUGGUUUACUGACGGAUAUUGUGAUAGAAAAGGAGGAAAAAGGUGACGCUUUUGUGGACUGCAUGAAUGUGGAUAUUAAAAUCUCAGGCUGGGCCCAGCGCGAUGGCUCACGCCUAUAAUCCCAGAACUUUGGGAGGACGAGAAAAUAAAGCACUUAACAUUCAGAGAAGUGGAAAGGCAGAUGUAGCUGAAAGAGUAGAUCCGAGGAGCAGAUUCCAUGUGCACCUGCCAAAACAGAGCUUUAUACAAGACCUGACCUUUCUGAGCAAGUUGAAGGCAAUUGUAAAGGAACUGUUUUCUGCCUUUACACAAAACAGCCAGAUGAAGAAGGAAAGACAGUGUCUCAUCGUUUUGUUCAGUCUGGUGUCGGACUCCUGGGCUCAUCAGAUCCUGCUGCUUUGCCCUCCUAAAGUGCUGGGAUUACAGACACCGUGCGAAGUGCAUUUUCCAGACCUUUCAUUGUUGUUGGGGAACUUCAGAACGUCAGCGUGCAUAAAAGUGUGGAUUUGACUGGAGAAGAAUUGUUCCUCUGUGAUCCUUGCCCACCCAGCACCCAGCUCUUCUUUCCUUGGAACAGCGCUGCCACGUCUCUUUCUCAAACCUUCCUCACUCGCUGAGGAGCAUCUUGGUGAGACUGUUAACCUGGUAUGGCAUAUGACUCAAACAUGGACAAUUGCACCUAUUUCCUUGGGACUUUCAGUCUUGAGGGGAGAAUGCUAGAUUGCAAAACAUCAUACUAAAAAAAAAAACUAAAAAAUUGUAGAGAAUGCAGAAAAGAAUGGAUGCAGAGGGUUCUGUUAUUGGAAUGAACUCUGACAGAGUGUCAACUAUUUUCUACCACCCAACACGCUGCAUAGUUCCCAUGCUAAAUUUAACCUGCUCAGCUGAUCCUUUAGUUAACGUUAAGUAGAAGAAGAACUUGUUGGAAGGAUAGUGAGUUGCCCAGAGCCCGUUUUCUUUGUUUGUAAUCAGACAACCUUGACGGAUACCGCCCUUAAAGAAGCACAGUUGUAGUGGCUGGAAGUGUAGGGUGUGCUUUACUAUUUAACAACGAAAGCUGAAACCUUGCAGGCUCUGCGCCUAAGAUCCCAUUGAGUCAGAGAAAAGUUCUGCAGCAAACCUCCUGAGAUAACUCCCCGGAACAGGAAGAUAACUUCGAAGCUUAGUUUAUUUCCAUACAAAUUGAAUUUUAAGUUCUUAUCAGGGUAACAGAAACAAAAAAUCAUGUCAUACAGACACAUUUGGGGUAGCCUGGUUAAUUCCUUCUUCUUUUGAAACAGCUACAUUAUCAAGAUGAUGCUUCACUGCCUGUUAGACUCGCUUCUGCUUGGAAGCAGAUGAAUCGAUUUUGAACUUCUUCUGUGAUAUGCUUAGUGCUUUGUCAGUAAAAUUACUGUAAUAUCUUAUACCAUCUGUCAUAUUCCCUUCCCCCAACAGGAGCCAUCUCCAGCCACUAAGUUCUCAGGCUGAAUUUCAAUCUUCAGCGUGAUCACUAUGCAAGCCUGCAUUCUGUGGUGCUCUGCUGGCCCCGGCUGGGGACAGGGGCGAGAAGUGGGUAGUGGCCCGGUUUUUAAUUUUCACACUCAGAGAAGAACCAUGAGCCUGAAUGGUUCCUGGGCUGGAGCAUUGAUGAACUGAGGUGGUUCUUUGCAAAUAUCCCUGUCCUUAGAGGCCUAAUAAAAUGUAAGGGGGUAUCA
rnacentral:lncRNA from 13 species